rnacentral:rRNA from 1 species
GACGAACGCUGGCGGCGUGCCUAAUACAUGCAAGUCGAACGCUGAAGGAGGAGCUUGCUCUUCUGGAUGAGUUGCGAACGGGUGAGUAACGCGUAGGUAACCUGCCUGGUAGCGGGGGAUAACUAUUGGAAACGAUAGCUAAUACCGCAUAAGAGUAGAUGUUGCAUGACAUUUACUUAAAAGGUGCAAUUGCAUCACUACCAGAUGGACCUGCGUUGUAUUAGCUAGUUGGUGGGGUAACGGCUUACCAAGGCGACGAUACAUAGCCGACCUGAGAGGGUGAUCGGCCACACUGGGACUGAGACACGGCCCAGACUCCUACGGGAGGCAGCAGUAGGGAAUCUUCGGCAAUGGACGGAAGUCUGAUCGAGCAACGCCGCGUGAGUGAAGAAGGUUUUCGGAUCGUAAAGCUCUGUUGUAAGAGAAGAACGAGUGUGAGAGUGGAAAGUUCACACUGUGACGGUAUCUUACCAGAAAGAGACGGCUAACUACGUG